rnacentral:rRNA from 1 species
AUGGCUGGAUAUACCACAUGGAUUCAUCAUGGAGAAAGUAUGCGGCCCUCCGAAACAACUUCAGGUCCUAGUUCACAGUUUGAAGAAUAUGCUGAUAGUGAUGAGAUGGAUGAGAUGCUACUGGAAGGAUUCGGGAUGUAUGAUACUCGUACUUUAGGAGAGGAGCAAGAGUCUGAAGAUGACUUGGACGAUGAUGCUGAAGCAUACUAUAGAUUAGUUAAUGAUGGGCGCCAAGAGCUGUACCCAGGUGGAGUCGCUUCGGAGCGCCUUGCUCAAGUUGAAGCUGAACUACAUGCUGCUAAACAAAAGAACAUGGAGCUUCGGCAUGUGGUGCAUACUCUGGUGGCAAAUCAAACUUCAAUAAUGGCCAAGAGUGAGAGAAUGCAAGAACAGUACAAUGAGCUAAAAAGUUUGAUCAUAGCUUCUAGGGGGUCUGUUGAAAUGGGAGAGAUUCCAGAAAAGGAGCUUCCAAAUAAAGAUCCUUCUAAGGACUUGGAAAACAUGAAUGACGAAGAACAAGCAACUUCACUUUCAUAUACUACCAAGGCAUCCGAGGCAAUGGCUGCUCCAAGGCAUCCAGAUAAGGUGAAGGCAACCCAACUAGAAUCAAGGAUAACAGAAUCAGCACUACCAAGUCUUGCGCCUGUGCCAAAACUGAAGAAGACAAAGACAACUAAACAUAAGAAACCAGGAAUAUUUCAAACACCACUCCAAAAGGGGCCAAAGGACGAAUUAAAAGAUACCAUAAAGUGUGGCAUGGAAGUUAGUUUGACGUCACCAAACAGUGCAAGUGUGGUGGCAAUGGGAACCAUUCAGAAAACUGAUAGAAAAGCUAAAGCUAUUGAUGGUCAACCACUAGCUGAUUGUGUUGAAGUACUUGUCAACAUCGUGCUCAAAGAAACAACUGAGCUGCCUCGUGCACAAGGGAAAAUAAACAGGCUAGGAAAUGCCCAAGCUAGGUGUAUUCCAUGGCCACGCAAAAAUAUUAUGCAAACAGACCGUACUACCGUGUUGCAUUCUAAGGUUUCUAGUGUUUGUAGUCAGAUGUCUUUCAACAAUAGUGAGAAUGUGGAUCCCAACAAAACAACUACUGGAACUCAGGUGACCAACCAUCAGACUGGUUGCAGUACUUCAGAAGGUGUAGUGAGGAAUACACUGAAGAGAAAGAAAGUUUCUGAGACAACAAGAAUGAAAAAAGGUACUCAAGCAAUCUCUGCUACAACCGGAAACAACAUACUUAGGAAUUCGGGCAGGGAAACAUGA